AGCUAUCAAUGCUCGGUAAGGUGUAACGAUAGCGCAGAAUAAGUCCAAUUUUGAACGAGCCAACGCCCAGGCAAGAUGGUCGGUAUAGUUUUUAGUGAAAAUAAUUUAUAGUGAAACGUUAUAAAGGAGAUAUUUCUGUGAACAAGGUUCAGGAUUAUAUCGGAAAAUCUCUGAAAAGGAGAUUUUUCAUGAUUUUCGCGAUUGAAAGGGCGCAAAAAACGUGAAAAUGAGGUUCAAAAUUCUCUACGUGACCCUCAUUGUGGUCAUGAUACAAAUCUGUCGGAUUGUAUCGGAUCAAAAUCUAACAAGUGACUCAAGUACACCAAAAAAUGUGAAACUCGACACAAUUCAAAGUGAUCCUGUGAAAGUUAGUAGUGCAAGUGUAAAGAAAGAGAAACCACUUCUUCAGGAUGAAAUCGAUGAUAUUGAAAUUAUUGAAGAGGAUGUGACGAAAAGACAACCGGAACCGAUAGUACCCGCGACAAGUGCGAAAUCGGCAGUUACCUCACCUAAGGAACCGUUUUUCUCGCCGAUAAAGACGAACUUGAAGGUUGAAACAGCACAAACUACCAAUGUCGUGAAGUCUUCCACGGAGAAAAUUCAAAUUCAACCGAGGAUUGGUUCAGGGAAAUCGGGAAAGUUGCAGCAACCAUUUGCACAACAAACUUAUUUUGGUGAUGGUGGAUUCAGCUAUGGGGAUAGUACGGACAAUUACGAUUGGGAUCCGGAAAAUCGUGUUGCACCUCCCGAUCAAGCUACUCACCAAGGUGACAACUAUGCAAUCACUACACAGCGUCUCCAAGAUAUCCGAAAACAUUUCUUCUAUUGGUUCUUCGAUAAAGACUCAAAAGGCGGACGUGGUGACUAUCAAAAGGAUAUUCAUGCUUCAAUGCCACAAAUCCAUAAAAAUUUCAAUUUCCAAUUACCUUUUUAUGGAUUCAGAUUCAAUUACACAAGGGUUUCUAUGAAUGGUUAUUUGGAAUUUUCGGAUCCACCAGAACACUUUACUUAUCCUCUAGUAUUCCCGGUUAAGGAUUGGCCACGACGUAAUGAUCCCUCGUUCAUUGGGAUUUUCUUCUCAAAAUGUCGUAUCGGAAGGAUAUAUGCUACCGAUUACGAUCAAAGGGAGCCAGGUGUCUAUUUCAGAAUGGAGCGUGAUUUGAUGACACGAACAGAUCGUUUUGGUGUUGAAGUUCGGGAACGUACUAUGUGGGAUAUCCGUGAAGGUGUAGUUGGUGCUGAUACAUUUAUUCCAAAACACGUCGCCAUUAUUACAUGGAAAAAUAUGUCCUUUGCUGGUGGUAUCGAUAAUUCACUCUUUAAGACAAACUCAUUCCAAAUGGUCCUGGCUACCGAUGAAGUUUUCACAUACGCAAUAUUCAACUAUGCCGUGAUUAAUUGGUCGGCACAUACUGAAGCGGGUGGUGAUACAACAGGAGGAGAAGGUGGUGUUCCAGCAUUUAUUGGCUUCAAUGCUGGCAAUGGAACACAAGCAUACGAAUACAAACCAUACAGUCAGGCAUCAGUACUUCGUGAUUUAACGGGACGUGGGUGGGCAAACGGUUUCCCAGGUCGACAUAUAUUCCGUAUCGAUGAGAAGAUAAUGUUGGGAACGUGCAAUAAGGAUAUUGAUGCGGCACAUCUACCACUGGUCUUUGCUCCGGAGUAUGGUAACAUGUUGGGUGGAACUGUGGUGAACAUCAGUGGUCCAUGUUUUGAUCCAAAUGAACGUGUUCUAUGCCAUUUCGAUACUGAAGAUGUUGUAGCGCAUGUUAUUGACAGAAAUAGGGCAAUGUGUGUUCAGCCAUUCUUGAAGGCUCAAGGAUAUAUUAGAUUUGAAAUAUCAGUAGGAAAUGAACGGUUCAAGUGGCGUGGAAAAUACUUUGUUGAAACUCCGGCUACUGCAACCGAUAGAAUUUUCUUUGAAACUGAUGCAGUCUACAAGAAAGCACCAGCUGAAAUAAAAAUAUCGUGGAAUAAAUAUAAUUUGACGGCAAAUUUGAAUGCGGGGGUUCGAAUAUCGUUAUGGGGUUAUAGAGAAAGUACUAUACGACCGCAACUGGAGUACAUAGACAUGAUAGAUGCAUCAAUAACAAAUACAGGAAGCUACAUUAUAGCACCGGCUAACUAUCGGAACCGUUGGAACCCUAACAACAAUGAUAUGCAGUUUGGUUUUAUACACAUAAAUCUCACGAAUCCGACAGACUACUCUGGUUUAGACAUCAGCCCAGUUCUUUGGUCAAAACCCAUACCACUCGCGUGGUACUUCGGACCACAAUGGGAGCGAAUUCAUGGUAGAGAAUGGCCACGCGCGCUAUGUGACAAUUGGCUUAGAACGGAUCGUUUCUUAAGGAAUUUUGCCGCGGAUUUGCCCCUCUGUCCGUGUACUUUACAACAUGCUACAUACGACAAAGGACGUUAUUAUCCCGAUCCGGAUUGCGACAAGGACUCAAAUCCAACUUGCUUGCAUCAUAAAGGAGCAAUACACUGUGUGAGAACAGGACAACCUACUGAACAAGGCGCACAACAGCAAUGCUGUUACGAUCGUUAUGGAUUCCUCAUGAUGUCCUACGAUCAAAUGUGGGGUUCCCGUCCACGACGUAAUCACGAUAUCGGUCUCAUGCCUUGGAAUGAAGCCGGAAAAGUGCCAACACUCUCUACAUGGUUCCACGAUGUACGUCCUUACUACUCCUGUUGCUAUUGGCAAGACGAACAGGCAGUUGGAUGUGAAACAUAUCGAUUCGAACGACGACCUUCACAGGAUUGUGUAGCCUAUCAGGCGCCAGGUGUUGGUGGAACAUUCGGUGACCCUCAUUUUGUUACAUUCGAUAAUCUCCAGUAUACCUUCAACGGAAUGGGAGAAUUCGUACUGGCUAAAGGCAAUGAUAACAAGGAAAAAUUCGAAGUACAGGGUCGGUUCGAACAGGUUCACCGGAAUGUGCAUGGACCUGUUAAGGCCACUCAGUUGACAUCGAUUGCUACACGAGGAAACACCACAACCGUGAUUGAGAUUCGUCUUAGGCCACCACAUGCACAGUGGCGUUAUCAUUUAGAUGUGUUUGCUGACGGAAAGAGGAUUUACUUUGAUCGUCCUAGUUUGAGAUAUCAACAUUUCCACGGAGUCACUGUUUACAUGCCACCAUAUAUUUUAAAUCAAUCAGAAAUUGUUGUUAUGUACUCUUCGGGUGUUGGCGUAGAAGUUGUUGAGAAUGCUGGAUUCAUGACUGCUCGAGUUUAUACCCCAUGGUCUUAUAUUAAUAAAACACGAGGGUUACUGGGCAAUUGGAGUUUCGAUCCCUCUGACGAUUUAACAUUGCCGGAUGGAAGGGUUGUAAGCGUUAAUCUAAAUAAUUUCGAGGCUAUACAUAGAGAUUUCGGAUUGAAAUGGAUGUUGGCGGAUCGUGAGAUACCGGGCGUAGGUGCAGCAUUAUUUACUCGAGAAUUCGGACGAACUGCUAGUUAUUUCUCGAACGAGUCGUUUAUUCCGGUUUACCAAAGAGAACCGAAAGACUUCCUUCCUGCAAAUCGAUCGUAUGAUAUUGAAAGAGCGUCAGAAUUAUGUGGGGAGAGCUAUCAAUGUCGAUAUGAUUAUGGAAUGUCAUUGAAUCGUGAUAUGGCUCACUUUACGAAGAACUAUUUCGAUAGUAUUGUGAAUAUAAGGACUACAAAUGAGAAACGCGUAAUAUCGUGUGGUGUUCUGGAAACUCCUCGUUUCGGACGAAAACUCAGUUUCGACUUUACACCUGGUGCACGUGUGAACUUCGAAUGCAAUGAAGGUUUCGUACUUAUGGGAGAUCAACGACGCGUUUGUACGCCUCAAGGCAGAUGGGAUGUACCGGUUUCCGGAUAUACACUUUGCUUACGUGAAGUUUACUACACGCAACGUAUGGCAUGGAUUGCAAUUGGUAUUAUCUUUGCUGUCAUAGCUCCAAUCAUGCUUUGCAUUGUUUGUGGUGUCUAUUGCUAUCGUAAGAAAGCCCUCAAAGAAGAUCCUAAUUUCAAAAUGACAUUGCCACGAUCACGUAAUGGUUCACGAGCUAACCUGCGCACCCUGAACAGCGAUACAACCGAUUCGGAUGGUGGAACCUUGAAGAAAAGUAGGUCUUACGAAAAAGUUUAUCGUACACACGAACCGCUUGAAGGGAAACCCGUGAUUGACUUUCCAGAGAAGAAAUGGGACUUGGACGAGGACGAGGAUGAGGACGUGACAUCGUCCGAAGGUAGCGAGUUUAAAGAUUCCAAAGUCGCAAAGGACAUUCAGUAUAUUAAUACUUCAGGUGAUAAACCCAAACAAUUGGGACGCCGUUCGUUGCGUCUGUCAACUGGCCCUGAUGCAAUUGCGGAAGAGCGUGACCACGACGACGAUUAUCCACCAUCUCCUAGGAACAAUGUUUCGCCCACACAUGAAUAUAGUCCAACGUUUAGCGGGGCUGAACAUAGUAGUGGUAAUGGACAGGCUGGUAGUCCUGUUACCCGUUUACCUAGUGGAGCGAUAAGAGUGUUGCCCACGGGAAGUAACACAUUCUCAUCGGGAUCAUCAUCACCGCCGAUCACACAAGAUGUUGGAUUGCCACGCCCACAAAACACCCGAUCAACAGAAGUUUAAUAACAGACUUUUUUUUUAGAAAAGACAAAAAGAAAUUUAUUUGUUUAAAUUUAUCAUUAGAUGUAAGAGAAUUCAGUACGGCAAAGCAAAGCUUGGCGGUAUCUAUAGAUUGUAUAUUUUUUCUACUUUAGUUAUUGUGUUCUCUACUGGUAAUUCUGUUGCAAUACAUACAUAUUUUCAUAUCAUGCAAUAUUUUUACCCAACAUACACUUAUAAAUAAUUUCAUUUUGAAGUAAUCAUGCAUUUGCCAUGACUCAAACCCUCUUUUUUCGUUGUUUUUUUUUUCGUAGAGCCAACUUCGAAUUUAAAACACUAACACUUUCAGAUUUAGUACAAAGUUUUCAGUCAUUUCAAACAUAUCUGCAGUAUUUGAUUGAUUUAAUUUUGACGACAGAAGCAAUUUGAUUGUCAAUAGAUAUUUUUAAGGAUAACUGGAAAAUUGAUGUCGAAAAAUGUUGAAAAUUAUAUCUGUAAACUCUAGUUAAAGGAGCCGAAGAACACACGUCGCGUACAGCAGGAAUUGCAUUUGGUUUAGUGUUCGCCAUUAUGGUCCCGGUACUUUUGGCUGUUGUUUGUUUCUUCUUCUUCUGGAUUAAAUAUC
rnacentral:misc_RNA from 1 species